rnacentral:rRNA from 1 species
UCGAGGAUCUUCGUCAAUGGGCGCAAGCCUGAACGAGCGACGCCGCGUGCGCGAUGAAGGCCUUCGGGUUGUAAAGCGCGAAAGUGGGGAUAAAGCCGAAAGGUUGAUAGAUCCACAGUAAGGACGGGCUAAGUUCGUGCCAGCAGCCGCGGUAAGACGAACUGUCCUAACGUUGUUCGGAAUCACUGGGCUUAAAGGGCGCGUAGGCGGUCCGACAAGUCAGGGGUGAAAUCCUGCAGCUUAACUGCAGAAGUGCCUUUGAUACUGUCGGUCUUGAGGGAAAUAGGGGUGUGCGGAACUUCCAGUGGAGCGGUGAAAUGCGUUGAUAUCAUGAAGAAUACCAGUUGCGAAGGCGGUCUCCUGGUCCGUUACUGACACUGAGGCGCGAAAGCGUGGGGAGCAAACAGGAUUAGAUACCCUGGUAGUCCACGCCUUAAACGAUGGGUACUAGGUGCUGGUCCCGUUCGGCACUCGCCACGGCGAGUGUGGAACGGGGUC